AAUUGCUAGUAAUCGCGGAUCAGCAUGCCGCGGUGAAUACGUUCCCUGGCCUUGUACACACCGCCCGUCACACCAUGGGAGCCGGUAAUACCCGAAGUCAGUAGCCUAACCGCAAGGGGGGCGCUGCCGAAGGUAGGAUUGGCGACUGGGGUGAAGUCGUAACAAGGUACC
rnacentral:rRNA from 1 species